rnacentral:rRNA from 1 species
GGAUCCAGACUUUGAUUCUGGCUCAGGACGAACGCUGGCGGCGCGCCUAACACAUGCAAGUCGAACGAGAGAUGAGGAGCUUGCUCUUCAAAUCGAGUGGCGAACGGGUGAGUAACGCGUGAGGAACCUGCCUCAAAGAGGGGGACAACAGUUGGAAACGACUGCUAAUACCGCAUAAGCCCACGGCUCGGCAUCGAGCAGAGGGAAAAGGAGCAAUCCGCUUUGAGAUGGCCUCGCGCCCGAUUAGCUAGUUGGUGAGGUAACGGCCCACCAAGGCGACGAUCGGUAGCCGGACUGAGAGGUUGAACGGCCACAUUGGGACUGAGACACGGCCCAGACUCCUACGGGAGGCAGCAGUGGGGAAUAUUGCACAAUGGGGGAAACCCUGAUGCAGCGACGCCGCGUGGAGGAAGAAGGUCUUCGGAUUGUAAACUCCUGUUGUUGAGGAAGAUAAUGACGGUACUCAACAAGGAAGUGACGGCUAACUACGUGCCAGCAGCCGCGGUAAAACGUAGGUCACAAGCGUUGUCCGGAAUUACUGGGUGUAAAGGGAGCGCAGGCGGGAGAACAAGUUGGAAGUGAAAUCCAUGGGCUCAACCCAUGAACUGCUUUCAAAACUGUUUUUCUUGAGUAGUGCAGAGGUAGGCGGAAUUCCCGGUGUAGCGGUGGAAUGCGUAGAUAUCGGGAGGAACACCAGUGGCGAAGGCGGCCUACUGGGCACCAACUGACGCUGAGGCUCGAAAGUGUGGGUAGCAAACAGGAUUAGAUACCCUGGUAGUCCACACCGUAAACGAUGAUUACUAGGUGUUGGAGGAUUGACCCCUUCAGUGCCGCAGUUAACACAAUAAGUAAUCCACCUGGGGAGU